AGUCGUCAGUACGUGUGGAGGUCUCUUGCAUUUUCCGCCUAAAUACUGUUGAUUUUCCCUAGUUUUUUGUGUGGAAAAUGAUUCUCAGAGUUUCAACAAAUAUCUCAGCGUCUAAAAAAACUGAAAUUCCAACUUUAUCUUUGGGAAUCACCGUGAUUUUCACAGUGGCGUCGCUUUGGCGUGAUUCCGGGACUUGAGGGCACUUGAAAUGAGUGGGAACUCCUUGGACAUGAAGCAUUGGCUGAUUUGAGAGCCGACAAGACCUUUCCGGACGGCGCCGUCUAAUGAUAUUCAGCAUGUUCCGGAACUUUUAAUGCACAGAUCAGAGAUCAAUAAAAUGGAUAUUUUUUUGUACGAAAGAUGAAAUCUUUAUUUCCGGGCG